rnacentral:rRNA from 1 species
UACGGAAGGCAGCAGUGGGGAAUAUUGCACAAUGGGCGAAAGCCUGAUGCAGCUAUGCCGCGUGUAUGAAGAAGGCCUUAGGGUUGUAAAGUACUUUCAUCGGGGAGGAAAAACAAAACUAAUAAUUUUAUUUCUUGACGUUACCCGAAAAAGAAGCACCGGCUAACUCCGUGCCAGCAGCCGCGGUAAUACGGAGGGUGCUAGCGUUAAUCAGAAUUACUGGGCGUAAAGAGCACGUAGGUGGUUUUUUUAAGUCAGAUGUGAAAUCCCUGGGCUUAACCUGGAACUGCAUUUUGAAACUGAAAUACUAGAGUAUCGUAGAGGGAGGUAGAAUUCUAGGUGUAGCGGUGAAAUGCGUAGAUAUCUGGAGGAAUACCUGUGGCGAAAGCGGCCUCCUAAACGAAUACUGACACUGAGGUGCGAAAGCGUGGGGAGCAAAC